rnacentral:rRNA from 1 species
AUUGAACGCUGGCGGCAGGCCUAACACAUGCAAGUCGAGCGGAGCGGCGGACGGGUGCGUAAUGCCUAGGUAUCUGCCUGGUCGUGGGGGAUAACGUCCGGAACCGGGCGCUAAUACCGCAUACUCUCAGCUGAGCCUAGGUGGGAUUAGCUAGUUGGUGGGGUAAAGGCUCACCAAGGCGACGAUCCGUAACUGGUCUGGGAGGAUGAUCAGUCACACUGGAACUGAGACACGGUCCAGACUCCUACGGGAGGCAGCAGUGGGGAAUAUUGGACAAUGGGCGAAAGCCUGAUCCAGCCAUGCCGCGUGUGUGAAGAAGGUCUUCGGAUUGUAAAGCACUUUAAGUUGGGAGGCGUUACCAACAGAAUAAGCACCGGCUAACUCCGUGCCAGCAGCCGCGGUAAUAC